rnacentral:rRNA from 1 species
GGAGGCAGCAGUGGGGAAUAUUGCACAAUGGGCGCAAGCCUGAUGCAGCCAUGCCGCGUGUAUGAAGAAGGCCUUCGGGUUGUAAAGUACUUUCAGCAGUGAGGAAGGUGUUGUCGUUAAUAGCGGCAUCAUUUGACGUUAGCUGCAGAAGAAGCACCGGCUAACUCCGUGCCAGCAGCCGCGGUAAUACGGAGGGUGCGAGCGUUAAUCGGAAUUACUGGGCGUAAAGCGCAUGCAGGUGGUUUGUU